CAGUCGAACGAUGAUGACUGAGCUUGCUCAGUUUGAUUAGUGGCGCACGGGUGAGUAACGCAUAGGUAAUGUGCCCCUUAGUCUGGGAUAGCCACUGGAAACGGUGAUUAAUACCGGAUACUCCUUCUCAUUACAAGAUGAGUCGGGAAAGUUUUUCGCUAAGGGAUCGGCCUAUGUCCUAUCAGGUAGUUGGUGAGGUAAUGGCUCACCAAGCCGAUGACGGGUAUCUGGUUUGAGAGGAUGAUCAGACACACUGGAACUGAGACACGGUCCAGACUCCUACGGGAGGCAGCAGUGAGGAAUAUUGCACAAUGGGGGAAACCCUGAUGCAGCAACGCCGCGUGGAGGAUGACGCAUUUCGGUGUGUAAACUCCUUUUAAGAGGGAAGAUUAUGACGGUACCUCUUGAAUAAGCACCGGCUAACUCCGUGCCAGCAGCCGCGGUAAUACGGAGGGUGCAAGCGUUACUCGGAAUCACUGGGCGUAAAGGGUGCGUAGGCUGACUUUUAAGUCAGGUGUGAAAUCCAAUGGCUUAACCAUUGAACUGCACUUGAAACUGGGAGUCUAGAGUUCAGAAGGGGCAGAUGGAAUUAGUGGUGUAGGGGUAAAAUCCGUAGAUAUCACUAGGAAUAUCAAAAGCGAAGGCGAUCUGCUGGGAUGAUACUG
rnacentral:rRNA from 1 species